GGGCGAGUAGUGAAAAGGUCACACGAUGUCGCUUCUUAAGCAACAAUAUGCCGGUCGGUGGUUCGAACCCACCCUCGCCCA